rnacentral:lncRNA from 1 species
UUCUCUAUUAUAUUUUUGAUUUAUUUUUAUUUACUAUUAUGUACUAUAUUUUUUCUCAAAAGUAUUAUUAAACUAUUAUUUCUUAUAUUAAUUUAAUCACUAUACCAUUGUUAAGAAAUUUAUUAGUUUAGACUGAAAUGAAUAAUACUUCGUUUGGAAUUACGAAGAAAUUACUUUACGUGCGGUGAAAAAGUACGAUAAAAAAAUAUCCUAUUUAUUUUCGUACAUAAUAUUACUUUUAGUAUAUUGCGAUGAGUCGAUUAUGAUAUAUUUUUUUCGAUUUUAUCGGAGAAUGUAGAAGUAUGUCAUAUAUAUAUUUUUUCUAACUCUAUUUUAUCUAACAACAUCAACACCAUCAACGUCGAGUAGAUCUCUGUACCAAACUAAGCCUAACUCCUUCAAAUCUAUUAUUGUGACCGAAGAAAAUUUU